rnacentral:rRNA from 1 species
UCAUGCGAGGAGUAGUGCUAUCAAUAACGAGACAGAUCUCUUUGAGGCCUGUUAUCGGAAUGGGUACAAUUUAAACCCUUUAACGAGGAUCUAUGAGAGGGCAAGUCUGGUGCCAGCAGCCGCGUAAUUCCAGCUCUCAAGGUGUAUAUCGUCAUUGCUGCGGUUAAAAAAGCUCGUAGUUGGAUCUGAGAUCUUGAACACGGUACACCAUGUGUGUAACUGUGCUUCUGAUCUGUUUUGUCGGUUUUCUCUUGCGGCCUUCAUUGGUCGUCUUGAGUGGCUGGCGUGUUUACCUUGAAUAAAUUAGAGUGCUCAAGACAGGCGUUUCGUUGUAUAUUCGUGCAUGGAAUAAUAGAAUAGGACUUCGGUUCAUUCUGUUGGUCUUAGGACUGAAGUAAUGGUUAAGAGGGACUGACGGGGGCAUCCGUAUCGCUGCGUGAGAGGUGAAAUUCUUGGACCGCAGCGGGACGUCCAACUGCGAAAGCUUUGCCAAGAAUGUCUUCAUUAAUCAAGAAC